rnacentral:lncRNA from 1 species
GUAUUGUCAAGAAAGAUCAACACUGGAGCAGAGGUGAGGCGAUAUUUCAACUCGGCAAAACUUUCUUCACAUUCAUAAUUCCAAAUAAAAGUUACAUCCUUUCGGGUGAGACAGGUCAACAGAAUUACAAUCUUGGAACCCAUCAAUGAACCGCUGAUAGUAAUGAGCUAGAUCAAGGAAACUACGUACCUCAGCAACUUUUGUUGGCCAGUUCCAAUUAAUCAGAGUUUCAACCUUGGAUGGCCUUUCUACUACUGAUAUCUCAUUUAUAGAUUCAGGCUUAAUAUCUAAUUUACAAGCAAAAGAAAAAGAAAUAAAAGAGUGAGUAGCACCUGUAUCAAUUAGAGCUCAAGCAGUAAUGUCAUGGAUAGAAAGCAUACCCUCAAUAAUAGUAGGAGUAGUGACGGCACCGGGCUCAUAAAGAUGGUGCACACAACCAUGGGCUACUAGUCUGGCCAUGUCCUUUGGCUGCUAGGGAAAGUCUUUAACAAAGUGUUGAGUGCUUCCACACUUAUAGCAGGUGUUGUUUGAAUGCCAAU